rnacentral:rRNA from 1 species
CCUUUACUGACGCUAAAGCUCGAAGGUGCGGGUAUCGAACAGGAUUAGAUACCCUGGUAGUCCGCACGGUAAACGAUGGAUGCCCGCUGUUUGCGAUAUACAGUAAGCGGCCAAGCGAAAGCGUUAAGCAUCCCACCUGGGGAGUACGCCGGCAACGGUGAAACUCAAAGGAAUUGACGGGGGCCCGCACAAGCGGAGGAACAUGUGGUUUAAUUCGAUGAUACGCGAGGAACCUUACCCGGGCUUGAACUGCAGGAGAACGAUCCAGAGAUGGUGAGGCCCUUCGGGGCUCCUGUGGAGGUGCUGCAUGGUUGUCGUCAGCUCGUGCCGUGAGGUGUCGGCUUAAGUGCCAUAACGAGCGCAACCCUUUCCGGUAGUUGCCAUCAGGUGAUGCUGGGCACUCUGCCGGUACUGCCACCGUAAGGUGUGAGGAAGGUGGGGAUGACGUCAAAUCAGCACGGCCCUUACGUCCGGGGCUACACACGUGUUACAAUGGGGCAUACAGAAAGCCGGUGGCUCGCAAGUGCCAUCCAAUCCUGAAAGUGUCCCUCAGUUCGGAUUGGGGUCUGCAACCCGACCCCAUGAAGCUGGAUCGCUAGUA